rnacentral:rRNA from 1 species
UACGUAGGUGGCAAGCGUUGUCCGGAAUUUAUUGGGCGUAAAGCGCGCGCAGGCGGUCCUUUAAGUCUGAUGUGAAAGCCCACGGCUCAACCGUGGAGGGUCAUUGGAAACUGGGGGACUUGAGUACAGAAGAGAAGAGUGGAAUUGCCACGUGUAGCGGUGAAAUGCGUAGAGAUGUGGAGGAACACCAGUGGCGAAGGCGACUCUUUGGUCUGUAACUGACGCUGAGGCGCGAAAGCGUGGGGAGCAAACAGG